UUGAGCCGUAUGCGGGGAAACUCGCACGUACGGUUCUUAGGGGGCGGCCGCGCAGUAAUGCGCGGUUGCUACCCGAC
rnacentral:ncRNA from 1 species